CAGUUAGUUUCUCGUUGACUGC
rnacentral:siRNA from 1 species